rnacentral:rRNA from 1 species
UACGUAGGGUGCGAGCGUUAAUCGGAAUUACUGGGCGUAAAGCGUGCGCAGGCGGUUCGGAAAGAAAGAUGUGAAAUCCCAGGGCUUAACCCUGGAACUGCAUUUUUAACUCCCGGGCUAGAGUGUGUCAGAGGGGGGUAGAAUUCCACGUGUAGCAGUGAAAUGCGUAGAGAUGUGGAGGAAUACCGAUGGCGAAGGCAGCCCCCUGGGACAACACUGACGCUCAGGCACGAAAGCGUGGGGAGCAAACAGG